rnacentral:piRNA from 1 species
UAUUUCUACAUUAAAAAAAUAACCAACAGC